AUUGAACGCUAGCGGGAUGCUUUACACAUGCAAGUCGAACGAGUGGCGGACGGGUGAGUAUUAUAUCGGAACGUUCCCAGUAGCGGGGGGUAUCUCCUCUAAAGAGUGCUUCAUAUCGCAUACUCUUGGAGCGGCCGAUAUCGGAUUAGCUAUUUGGUGUGGUAAAGGCGAACCAAGGCAACGAUCCGUAGAUGGUUUGAGAGGACGACCAGCCACACUGGGACUGAGACACGGCCCAGACUCCUACGGGAGGCAGCAGUGGGGAAUGUUGGACAAUGGGGGAAACCCUGAUCCAGCCAUCCCGCGUGUAUGAGAAGGCCUUCGGGUUGUAAAGUACUUUUGGCAGAGAAGCGGUAUCUGCAGAAUAAGCACCGGCUAACUACGUGCCAGCAGCCGCGGUAAUAC
rnacentral:rRNA from 1 species